AUCUUCCCCAUACAUUAUUAUAAUACAUACACAUAUACCU
rnacentral:tRNA from 1 species